GGGGGUGUAGCUCAAAAGUAGAGCACUUCGAUUACAUCGAAGAGGUUGGUGUGUGCAAUUCCACUCAUCCCCACCA
rnacentral:tRNA from 1 species